CACGUAGUCAGCCGGGGCUUCUUGGUCAGGUACUGUCAUUUUCUUCCCUGCUGAUAGAGCUUUACAUACCGAAAUACUUCUUCACUCACGCGGCGUCGCUGCAUCAGGGUUUCCCCCAUUGUGCAAUAUCCCCCACUGCUGCCUCCCGUAGGAGUUUGGGCCGUGUCUCAGUCCCAAUGUGGCCGUCCGCCCUCUCAGGCCGGCUACUGAUCGUCGCUUUGGUAGGCCGUUACCCUGCCAACUGGCUAAUCAGACGCGGGUCCAUCAUAUACCACCGGAGUUUUUCACACCGGGGCAUGCGCCCCUGUGCGCUUAUGCGGUAUUAGCACCUAUUUCUAAGUGUUAUCCCCCUGUAUAUGGCAGGUUACCCACGCGUUACUCACCCGUCCGCCACGUAGGGCGUAGAAAAGUUUGAAGUCUAGUAAACUAUCCCUCUCGCACAUCACGCCCCCGUUCGACUUGCAUGUGUUAAGCACGCCGCCAGCGUUCAUCCUGACGCCAGGA
rnacentral:rRNA from 1 species